rfam:Schistosoma rodhaini strain Burundi genome assembly, scaffold: SROB_scaffold0006610
GCACUACUGAAGAGUCCUACAAUAGGACGUAACAGCCGUCCAGUGC